GCUUACGGCCAUACCAGCCCAAGAUCGCCCGGUCUCGUGUGAUCUCGGAAGCUAAGAAGGCUUGGGCCUGGUUUAGUACUUGGAUGGGAGACCUCCUGGGAAUACCAGGUUCUGUAAGCU
ensembl:rRNA 5S_rRNA 5S ribosomal RNA